GCCAAUCAGGACCGAUGCUCACAGUGACAACACUCACGCUGAGGAUAUUGUGGGUUAGAAGAGGAGCAUGGGUAAAAUAGAGGAGAGCAGGAGAAGUAAGAGAUGAGAUGAGAGGAGAGGGGAGAGGAGGAGGAGGAGGAGGAAGAGGAGAGGAGGAGGAGGAGGAGGAGGAGAGGAAUGAGAGGAGUACAAGGAAGCGGAAAACGGACGCACGUCACGAGCUGAUGGUGACAAACCGGUGCAAUCUCACAUUAACACCUCAACAAUCAAAGAUCUUUGAGUUGAUCAAAUUAUUGUGCACUCUAGCCUACAGUUUGUUUAGAGGAUUUACAGUUUGUUUAGAGGUUUACAGUCUGUUUAGAGGUUUACAGUUUAUUUAGAGGUUUACAGUUUGUUUAGAGGUUUACAGUUUGUUUAGAGGAUUACAGUUUGUUUAGAGGAUUUACAGUUUGUUUAGAGGAUAACAGUUUUAGAGGAUUUACAGUUUGUUUAGAGGAUUACAGUUUGUUUAGAGGAUUACAGUUUGUUUAGAGGAUUUACAGUUUGUUUAGAGGUUUACAGUUUGAUUACAGUUUGUUUAGAGGAUUUACAGUUUGUUUAGAGGAUUUACAGUUUGUUUAGAGGUUUACAGUCUGUUUAGAGGUUUACAGUUUGUUUAGAGGAUUUACAGUUUGUUUACAGUUUGUUUAGAGGUUUACAGUCUGUUUAGAGGGUUUACAGUUUGUUUACAGUUUGUUUCGAGGUUUACAGUCUGUUUAGAGGGUUUACAGUUUGUUUAGAGGGUUACAGUUUGUUUAGAGGUUUACAGUUUGACAGCGCCACUUUUUCUACAGACAAACAUUAGUCACAGGAUUGCAAAGGGAAGGUCAGAUGCAGAUAAGGGGUCUAUGAGAG
rnacentral:lncRNA from 1 species